rnacentral:rRNA from 1 species
AGUGAACGCUGGCGGUAGGCCUAAUACAUGCAAGUCGAACGGCAGCACAGUAAGAGCUUGCCUUUACGGGUGGCGAGGGGCGGACGGGUGAGGAAUACAUCGGAAUCUACUUUUUCUGGGGGGAUAACGUAGGGACACUUAUGCUACCACCGCAUACGAUCUACGGGAGAAAGCAGGGGAUCUUCGGACCUUGCGCGACUGAAUUAGCUGAUGUCGGAUUAGCUAGUUGGCGGGGUAAAGGCUCACCAAGGCGACGAUCCGUAGCUGGUCUGAGAGGAUGAUCAGCCACACUGGAACUGAGACACGGUCCAGACUCCUACGGGAGGCAGCAGUGGGGAAUAUUGGACAAUGGGCGCAAGCCUGACCCAGCAAUACCGCGUGAGUGAAGAAGGCCUUCGGGUUGUAAAGCCCUUUUGUUGGGAAAGAAAAACAGCCGGUUAAUCCCCGGCUGUUCUGACGGUACCCAAAGAAUAAGCACCGGCUAACUUCGUG